UACGUAGGGCGCAAGCGUUAUCCGGAAUUAUUGGGCGUAAAGAGCUCGUAGGCGGUUUGUCGCGUCUGCCGUGAAAGUCCGGGGCUCAACUCCGGAUCUGCGGUGGGUACGGGCAGACUAGAGUGAUGUAGGGGAGACUGGAAUUCCUGGUGUAGCGGUGAAAUGCGCAGAUAUCAGGAGGAACACCGAUGGCGAAGGCG
rnacentral:rRNA from 1 species